ACAGAAUCUGCAUCGUUGUUGCCAGAGCCAGGUGCCUGGUGCCUCCUCACCGAGGCUGAUCACAGCCCCUGUGCUCUGACCGCAUUGCUGCAGAGCCAACCUGCUGCCUU
ensembl:miRNA gga-mir-6609 gga-mir-6609